rnacentral:sRNA from 1 species
UAUAUGAUUUUUGAAGAAAAUUGUGCUUGAGUUUUAGAUAUGAAGGGGUCAUAUUUUAGAGAACAAAAACAGAAAAGAAAAUGAAUGGGAGAAAAGAAGCAAAUAGUCUCUUGAAUAAAACCUUCACAUAAAAUAUAUAUACCUUAUAAGUUCUAAAUUCUAAUAAAAUAUCCGCUGCAGCACAUUGUCUAAAGCAAACAUUCUAAUUUAAUAGUGGAUCAGAAUUCUCGGUUCGAAGCCCGGCAGCGGAAAAAUCCUUUUGGUGCUUUUUAUAAUGUAUCUUGUAUGACAAUUUAAGAUACUUUCUCAUAUUGUUCUUUCUUCUCUGCUCAUUGUUAUGGUUUUUAUACUAUAUUAUAUGAUUCUUGAAAAAAAUCGUGCUUGAGUUUUAGAUAUGAGGGGGUCAUAUUUUCGACAACAAAAACAGAAAAGAAAAUGAAAGGGAGAAAAGAAGCAAAUACUCUCUUCAAUAAAACCUUCACAUAAAACAUAUAUACCGUAUAAAUUCUAAAUUCUAACAAAAGGUCCGCUGUAGCACAUUGUCUAAAACAAACAUUCUA